rnacentral:tRNA from 1 species
UGGGCAGUAGCUCCAGUGGUAGAGCCCUCGCUUCGUCUGCGGGAAGACCCGGGUUCGAUUCCCGGCUGCUUUC